rnacentral:tmRNA from 1 species
GGGGGCGACUUGGCUUCGACGGGGAUGGAGAUGUAGAGAGCGCGUGCCGAGGUCCCCGAAACCUCGUUAAAACCGGGAACAAAACUCAAACGCCGACGAUAACUCGUACGCGUUGGCCGCCUAAGNAAUUAGGUAGCCCGUGGGGGCUGAUGUUGCCUGCGACGCCAGCCCCCACGACAGCAAAGCAGGCUAGUCGAACACCCCCGUUCCAGGGUGUCCGGCGAAAACUAUGGAACUGGCCCUCUUUGGCUUUCGUCAGCCGGUGUCGGAGAGGGUGAGACAUCAUCGGGCUGACUACGCACGUAGUGGUCUCGUCGGAACUGUUCUCGGACGCGGGUUCGAUCCCCGCCGCCUCCACCA